GAUGAAGAACGUAGCGAAAUGCGAUAAGUAAUGUGAAUUGCAGAAUUCAGUGAAUCAUCGAAUCUUUGAACGCACAUUGCGCCCGCCAGUAUUCUGGCGAGCAUGCCUGUUCGAGCGUCAUUUCAACCAUCAAGCCCCAGGCUUGUGUUGGAGCCCUGCGGCUGCCGCAGCCUGCCAAAACCAGUGGCGGGCUCGCUAUCACACCGAGUGCAGUAGUUUACUCUUCGCUCAGGGCGUGUGGCGGGUGCUAGCCGUGAAACCCCCAACUUCUCAAGGUUGACCUCGGAUCAGGUAGGAAUACCCGCUGAACUUAAGCAUAUCAAUAAGCGGAGGA
rnacentral:misc_RNA from 1 species